rnacentral:pre_miRNA from 1 species
AAACAGCCCCCUAUGUUUUGAUUCUUUGGCAGUUUUGGCCACCCAAGGCAAAAUAAAAAUAAAAAAGUUUGACACGUGGCACCUCACUUAGGGUGCCACGUCAGCGUUGACCGAGUCAACGCUGGUCUGGGGGUUCAAAACUGCUAAAGAAUCAAAACAUAGGGGGCUGUUU